AUAGUAAUCUCCAGUGAGUUGCCUGGAGCUGAGAGCUUUCCUUGGGCCUGGGAUGUACACUCCAGGUCUAACGCGGUCCAGUCUCCAAAGCUUUUGUAAAAGAAAGAGGUGUCUGAACUGAUGUCUACCAAAAACGAGGAACAGAAUGAAGACCAAUCUGAGAGUGUCGUCAUCCCACAUAUCCAGGACCACCACUGCCUAGCCAUUCUGGCUUUCUGUUUUUUCUUUCCACUAGGCUACUUAGCCUAUCGCUCUUCUUGCAAGACAAGAACAUACAUAGAACAGAAGGAAUAUGAAAAGGCCAAAGCCACCUCCAGAUGCACCUUCGCUUUUGUCUUGAGCUCCAUCGCUGGAGGGUCCAUCAUCUUUUUCUGCUUAUUCUCCCGACUCUUCUUUAUGUGACCUCUGUCAAGGCCCAUGACAUGCCGAUCAGAUAUAUACAACAACGCACCCGAGCCUGUCUGCAGCUUUGGAUUCCCUGGAUACAUUCUCUUUAAUGUGUGAAGUGCCGAGCUGAUUGAGAUCAGAAAUAAAAUUUGUCACAACAAUGAAA